UUGCUAGACUAGCUGAGAGGAGGUGCAUGGCCGUCGUCAGUUCGUACUGUGAAGCAUCCUGUUAAGUCAGGCAACGAGCGAGACCCGCGCCCAUAGUUGCCAGCAAUCCCUCGUGGGGAGAUGGGUACACUAUGGGGACCGCCUCUGCUAAAGAGGAGGAAGGAACGGGCAACGGUAGGUCAGCAUGCCCCGAAUCUCCCGGGCUACACGCGGGCUACAAUGAUCGGGACAAUGGGAAUCGACACCGAGAGGUGAAGGUAAUCUCCUAAACCCGAUCGUAGUUCGGAUUGGGGGCUGAAACUCGCCCCCAUGAAGAUGGAAUCCGUAGUAAUCGCGUCUCAAAAUGGCGCGGUGAAUAUGUCCCUGCUCCUU
rnacentral:rRNA from 1 species